rnacentral:rRNA from 1 species
UACGGGGGGAGCAAGCGUUGUUCGGAUUUAUUGGGCGUAAAGGGCGCGUAGGCGGCCACCGCAAGUCGACUGUGAAAUCUCCGGGCUUAACUCGGAAAGGUCAGCCGAUACUGCGGGGCUAGAGUGCAGAAGGGGAAACUGGAAUUCUCGGUGUAGCGGUGAAAUGCGUAGAUAUCAGGAGGAACAUCAGUGGCGAAAGCGACUUCCUGGACCAAUACUGACGCUCAUGUGCGAAAGCGUGGGGAGCAAACAGG